GAGAGCAAAGGGUGCUGAUAGGAAACACUGGCUUGGGCCAGAUUUGAGAGGCCUUCAGAGAGCAGGUUAUGGCAUUUGAGUGUCAUCUGACAGGUAGAAAGCAGCCAGCAAAGUGGUGUGGGCAGUGGGUGACCAUCUGGUUGAAGGCCCCAGGGGCUGAUGUCCACCACCACCGUGAAGUUGUGAAUGGUGCCACCGUGGCUCCGUGGCCUCCCCUACCUGCUGACAGUGGGGAGAUGAGGGUUCUGGGGUGGAGCAGGUCCCAUCUCCCCAGGGAAGUUGCUGGAAGGGGCAGCAGGAGGGGGUCAGAUAGGAUCCGAUGUCUGCGGGAGGGCUUCUUCUCCUUCAGAGCUCCCACUCCUCUGGCAGUCCCAGAAUUUGAGCUCCUAGAGCCGCUGUGUUACAUCUGAGAGGCUCUGCUUGGAGUCCAGGGGCUCCUCCCCAUGCCCACAUGCGCCCUACCAGAGCCUGGAACUCCCAGUGGGACUAUGAGUGUUUCUCAUAGGCGAGGUGCCUCAGGCUGAAAGGAGGAGGUUUGGGCAGCCACCACCCAAUUGUCACAUCACCUGCUGGGACUGGAGCAACCAGGAUGGGGACACAGUGGCUUUUCAUCACUACUGUCAGUUGCCUCACGUCCUGCAGUGUCCCAGUCCUGUUAGAGGCCCCUGCCUCUCUAGAUCCUAUCAGUCUUUGUCCCUGCCCCCAUCCCCCCACCCCGUCCUGAGACUGGGGAGCCAAGCCGCAGCGGGUGGAGGGCAGGUUAAGCAAAAGGUUCAUCCCUGGGAAAGUCUCCCCCAUCCCCCUUGGGAUGCCAUGGCCUCGUCUUGUUUGGAGUUUAGGUCACUUACCGUGGAGGCCUUGGUCCAGCCUUGUGUCCCACCGUUGAAGAGGGAGGCAGGAAAACCAGAGGGAAUAUGACAAGCAAAGUGGAGGAGAGUCACAGGGAAAAGAUGAAGGCACCCAGGACUGAAGCCACCGCGGUGGCGUGAGCCAGUUCAGAAGGGAGAGGAGGCUAAGGGUCAUCCACCCUGUCCUUCCAGUAGGGUGGGCGGCUUUGAGUCACUGCAAGAGGGGUCUGGCCCAGAUCCCACACCAUUUCUGCUUGAGGGGCCGGAAGAGUUUCAGCAGAUGCACCACAAGGCAAGGGAGGGAACCCCAGGCUGGCUGCUUUUUCCACACUGGCCAAAGGUUCCGUGUUAGGGCAGUUGGCAGUGCUGACCCGGAGCUCCUUCCUACCUGGAAGUCCGGAAGUUGUCAGAUUGAGCUCGAGCAGAGCUCGGGCGCGAACAGGGGAUGGAGGGAAGGAGGAGAGCGCUGCCGCUGGGCUCGCGCUGCCGCCCCGAAGCCGGCAGGCCGGCGACCCGCCCGGGCGGUCCCGGGGUCGCGGAAGGGGGCCCUCGCGCCCCUCCCAGGCUCUCACCUGCCGUCGCGGCCCCGGAGCUCGGCGCCACCGGGCCUGCCCGGCCGGCGGACGCCUGCGAGCUCGGCAGGCCAGGGCCCCGCCCCGCCCCC
rnacentral:lncRNA from 1 species